rnacentral:rRNA from 1 species
UACGAAGGGGGCUAGCGUUGCUCGGAAUGACUGGGCGUAAAGGGCGCGUAGGCGGAUGGCACAGUCAGAUGUGAAAUUCCCGGGCUUAACCUGGGGGCUGCAUUUGAUACGUGUGAUCUAGAGUGAGGAAGAGGGUCGUGGAAUUCCCAGUGUAGAGGUGGAAUUCGUAGAUAUUGGGGAGAACACCGGUGGCGAAGGCGGCGACCUGGUCCUUGACUGACGCUGAGGCGCGAAAGCGUGGGGAGCAAACAGG